rnacentral:rRNA from 1 species
GUGAAUCCGGUGGCAGAGGGAGGGGUAAAACGGAGGGGCUGAGGUGUAAGCGGAAUGUCUGGGGGUAAAGCGGGCGCAUGCGGUGUGUUAAGCGAGAUGUAAAAGCCCUGGGCUCAACCUAGGAAUAGCAUUUCGAACUGGCGAACUAGAGUCUUGUAGAGGGGGGUAGAAUUCCAGGUGUAGCGGUGAAAUGCGUAGAGAUCUGGAGGAAUACCGGUGGCGAAGGCGGCCCCCUGGACAAAGACUGACGCUCAUGCACGAAAGCGUGGGGAGCAAACAGGAUUAGAUACGCGAGUAGUC